GCGUACGUCACAGCAGUGCACAAACUGCCGCAGCCAAAUGUUGCAGGAAUGUCUUCGAGGUGGAAAUAUUACUUUCCUAACUGCAUGCGGAAAUGCCCUGUUUGUUACUUUUUAUUCUUCUCUCGUCGAAAUGUUCGAACGCGCAGGAAUGGCGAACCAGGGGAAAGCCUGCAGGCCUGGCAGAGCUGCCAUAGGAUUGGACAGGCCUGUGACCUUCUCUGGUGUGCAAACUGCCGCUCACGAAAUAGCGCAUUUGUUGAACGCUCCUCACGACGGCUAUGGAGAAGCGAGGAAUUGCCCACCGACAGACGGAUAUUUGAUGAGUAGCCCACGAAGAAGCGGAAAUAACAGUUGUGCGUUUUCCAGCUGUACCAAGAAGAUUAUUGCUGACUUUUUACAGUGGCCUUACUCAAAGUGCCUAAUGAAAAAUACGGCAUGCCACGUUAUUUCUCUGCCAAACAAGGCGGCAAAUCUUCCAGGCGAUACAAUGGAUGGACCUACGUUCUGCAAGGAAUACUACCGAAAACCGAGAUACGCGAACUCUACUUACCUUAAGCUGGAUUCCGACCUCAAGCAGUGCGUGUUCCGCUGUUUGGUAGAGUACACCAACCCUAAGGGGAAAAUGGAGAACCGCACGUCAUUCGCAUUAGAUGGCACACCCUGCUCU
rnacentral:lncRNA from 1 species